rnacentral:rRNA from 1 species
GACGAACGCUGGCGGCGUGCUUAACACAUGCAAGUCGAACGGAGAGGCCUCUUUCGGGGGGUACUCGAGUGGCGAACGGGUGAGUAACACGUGAGUAACCUGCCCUUGACUUUGGGAUAACUUCAGGAAACUGGGGCUAAUACCGGAUAGGAGCUCCUGCUGCAUGGUGGGGGUUGGAAAGUUUCGGCGGUUGGGGAUGGACUCGCGGCUUAUCAGCUUGUUGGUGGGGUAGUGGCUUACCAAGGCUUUGACGGGUAGCCGGCCUGAGAGGGUGACCGGCCACAUUGGGACUGAGAUACGGCCCAGACUCCUACGGGAGGCAGCAGUGGGGAAUAUUGCACAAUGGGUGGAAGCCUGAUGCAGCAACGCCGUGUGCGGGAUGGCGGCCUUCGGGUUGUAAACCGCUUUCGCUCAUGACGAAGCUUUGUGUGACGGUAGUGGGUAAAGAAGCACCGGCUAACUACGUG